GACGAACGCUGGCGGCGUGCUUAACACAUGCAAGUCGAACGGAAAGGCCCUGCUUUUGUGGGGUGCUCGAGUGGCGAACGGGUGAGUAACACGUGAGUAACCUGCCCUUGACUUUGGGGUAACUUCAGGAAACUGGGGCUAAUACCGGAUAGGAGCUCCUGCUGCAUGGUGGGGGUUGGAAAGUUUCGGCGGUUGGGGAUGGACUCGCGGCUUAUCAGCUUGUUGGUGGGGUAGUGGCUUACCAAGGCUUUGACGGGUAGCCGGCCUGAGAGGGUGACCGGCCACAUUGGGACUGAGAUACGGCCCAGACUCCUACGGGAGGCAGCAGUGGGGAAUAUUGCACAAUGGGCGGAAGCCUGAUGCAGCAACGCCGCGUGCGGGAUGACGGCCUUCGGGUUGUAAACCGCCUUCGCCUGUGACGAAGCGUGAGUGACGGUAAUGGGUAAAGAAGCACCGGCUAACUACGUG
rnacentral:rRNA from 1 species